GCGAUGCGUCUUAAGCAUGCAAGUCGAGCGGGCUUAUUCGGGCAACUGGAUAAGUUAGCGGCGAACUGGUGAGUAACACGUAGGUAAUCUGCCGUGAAGUGGGGGAUAACCCAUGGAAACAUGGACUAAUACCGCAUAUACUCUUGCUACAUAAGUAGAGUAGAGGAAAGUUUUUUCGCUUCACGAUGAGCCUGCGGCCUAUUAGCCUGUUGGUAGGGUAAUGGCCUACCAAAGCUACGAUAGGUAGCCGACCUGAGAGGGUGACCGGCCACAUUGGGACUGAGAUACGGCCCAGACUCCUACGGGAGGCAGCAGCUGAGAAUCUUCCACAAUGGACGAAAGUCUGAUGGAGCGACAUCGCGUGAGGGAUGAAGGCCUUCGGGUUGUAAACCUCGGAAAUUAUCGAAGAAUGAGUGACAGUAGAUAAUGUAAGC
rnacentral:rRNA from 1 species